AUCGAGCUAAAACCAAAAGUCUCCGAACGUGCAUGCCUUCCAUGUGCGCGUAUACGUGAGCCGCGCAGCAAGUUGCACACAUGUGGUGGUGGUGGCCGUCAGCCGUGCUUUUUUGGCAGACAAUGGUCUGUAGCUUGCUGUGUGUUGAGGGGGGAUAGGUGACGUGCUGGGCUAGUUAGAAAGGUACGUCGCUAGCGCCUAUCCUCUCGUUAUUCGUAACAACGGUGUCCACUUUGGCGUCUACGCCUCACCUAGCUAUCGCCUGGACCGUCGGUAGCGAUGAAAGGUGGGGAUAAAGCUCCUCGUUUCGAGUCGAGUAGACUUAAUGAGCCUGUGGUUACGGGCCGCCGAAACCCAAACACAACCAGUCUUAUGUUUGAAUUUGUAGAAGGUGGUCUUGUCACCCCUGUUGGUGUAUGGAUCGCCUUCAAAUCGAGUUA
rnacentral:rRNA from 2 species